CCUACGGGGGGCAGCAGUGGGGAAUAUUGCGCAAUGGGCGAAAGCCUGACGCAGCGACGCCGCGUGAGGGAUGAAGGUCUUCGGAUCGUAAACCUCUGUCAGCCGGGAAGAACGGUCACUGUGCUAAUCAGCAGUGAAUUGACGGUACCUGCAAAAGAAGCACCGGCUAACUCCGUGCCAGCAGCCGCGGUAAUACGGAGGGGGCGAGCGUUAAUCGGAAUUUCUGGGUGUAAAGCGCGCGUUGACGGUAUGUCAGGUCAAGGGUGAAAUCCCCGGGCUCAACGUGGGAACUGCCUUUGAAACUGGCAAACUGGAGUGUGUGAGAGGAUAGUGGAAUUCCAGGUGUAGGAGUGAAAUGCGUAGAUAUC
rnacentral:rRNA from 1 species